rnacentral:misc_RNA from 1 species
UCACGUUUCGAAGGACGAUAUCAAUGCUCAAAACACAUUACGUUCAACAGUUCUUAAGGAAUUUGCAAUGGGGUCAGUUAUUACAGUUCCGAUCACAUUAGCUUUGGGAUUAAUUUCAGUGAAGCCAUCAGAUUUUGUGUAUUGGUGCAAAUGGGUGUUUUCCUACAUUUAUAUUGAAAUCAACAAAAGGAUCACUCAGAGCAGAUUCGAUCUUUACGAUCCAAAGGCUCACCAAAAUGCUGAGAAACUCGGUCUCAUCGUGCCUACAGAAGAAUUCCAUUUAGAGUCUCCUUGCUCUGAAUCCCAUCUGCAAAACGCAGAAGAUGGAAUUUUUUGUUAUGGUGUGAAUACCAAUUCAGAGUGCCUCAUCAUCAGUAUCUUCAGAAGGAGAGAUGAAAAAGCUGAUGCUUGUAUUUACCUAAAAUUAGCUUCUGGGAAAACCUACCGUUUGCAAAAGACGGAUCAUUUCCAACAGUCUUGUACUGAUAAAAUUGUCUUCUCCUGCGGAGACCUGCAGAUGCAUUACACUUGUCCCAUGAGGAGGUGGAGAAUAUUUUACAGUGGCUUCUUAAGGGAGACAAAUAACGAUAAUGAUUCUGAAACAGAACGUAUGGUGUACAUAAAGUUUGCUUUCAGAUGGUUGGCUUCUUCAGACGUGUUUGAUUGCACAUCAGAUUUAAGUUCUCUAACGCUGGCCAAAACUCUGGCAAAUGUAGAAUGGAGAUCAUUACACCCUCCUCUUGAUAAAUUCAAAUGUGCACUGAAUUUUUAUGUGCAAGCUGGAAUCAUACAUGGAACUGUUACAGUUGAUGAUAAACAAGAUGAAUACGAAUUGUAUUUAUUUGGACAGAGAGUAAGGUGCUUAGGUGAUAUUACAAGUUUUAAAGAUAUACAAAUUGAUCACAUGCUAGGACAUGUUCACCAAAACGGAGCAUAUAUUUAUCUGGCGAAGGCUUCAGUCGCUGAUGUUGCAAAUAAUUUCUGUUUUGGUUGUAUUGUGCAACCGGACUGUCAUCUCAGAUCAACGAGACAAGCUACUAUAACGAUUAUAGAUUCAAAGGACGUUCGUUCGAUAAAAGCAUCAUUUCAGACUGAUCAUUUUUACAAACUUCGUGGAUCAUUCUUCAGCCCACUGCUGCAUUUCGUUACCAAAAGAAGAGAAGAAGCCACUUCUUUCAGCAAAUUUGACUUUUAUAUGAAUGGUAAAAAAGGAACUGGAAUUUAUAUAGCAAGGCGCAUUGCACAGAUAUCGCGACAGAAGCAUUCGGACAUCUCAGAACCAAAAGCUGUUGUUUCAGCGGCACCAUUGGUCGUCUCUUUCUCUAGUGAGAUAUGUCAAGCACCCGAAGUAACAGGCGGAAAAGGUUCCUCACUGGGAAAAUUAACAGAAUUAAGCAGGGAUCUUCCCACGUUUAUAGUUCCUAGUGGUGUCGUAGUGACUACAUCAGCUUACAAAAGUUUCAUUACAAUGGAAAUUCUUAAAAAAAUUGAAAUGUUGGAAGAUGUUCUUUAUGGGAGAACUGAAGGAAAUGUUAAAGAAGUCUGUGAAAGCUUAUAUGCAGAUAUUACGAGAACUGAGUUUUCUAGAGAAACUAGGGAGGCCAUUGAAAUCUGUUUGAAGAGAACCUUUGGAGAAAAAUUUCAAUCGAAAAAAUUUGCCAUUCGAUCUUCAGCUACUGGUGAAGACACCGAACAAAUGUCUGCUGCUGGUCAGAUGGACACUUUCUUAGGCAUCUCAGGAAUAAAGGAAAUUCUACAGGCAAUCAAAAAGUGUUGGGCCUCACAGUUUGGAUAUAUUGCUAUUCAGUAUAAAAGGCGUUAUGGUCAGUACCUGAAUUCUCCCAUGGCUGUGGUCAUUCAGGAGAUGGUGGCCUGUGAUGUUGCCGGGGUUCUUUUCACUUGUGAUCCUUUGACAGGGAAUCCAACAGUUAUGACCAUAACCGCCAACUAUGGUUUAGGAGAGUCCGUGGUAUCAGGCUCUGAAGAACCCGACACAAUCGAACUUCAAAGAGAUCACGAUGACCGUCUGUCUGUAAAAAGCACAAGCAUCGGAGCAAAAAGUAGGAAAAUUAUUGUGAAGGAUGGAGUAGGCACGGCUUUAGAAGAAGUCUGCGAAGAUGAGAAAACUAAUUGUUGCUUGACGGAUAAAAUGAUAAUGCGACUGGGACAAUUUGGAAUUGAAGUUGAAAUGUAUUACCUAUCUCACAGAGAUAUUGAAUGGGGUUUCUGGAACAACAAUCUGUACGUGUUUCAGUCUCGCCCAGUAACUAGCGGCACAAAUGAAACAGUGUUUGAAAUAGAUCACGAAUUUGAUUGCCCUCUUCGAACGGAGAAUGAUUUUUUUUCAGUGGCUAACGUUGGGGAAGUUAUGCCUGGAGCUAUGUCACCUUUAGGAAUAGAUUACUUGUUUAAGUCUAUCAGCAUAGUAUUUAAUACAGAAGAAGUAGUGUGGGCUACUGCUUGCCGUAGCCAUUAUUAUCGAAAUGGUUGGAUGACCUUUUACAAUCACACCAUUUUCAAUAUUUCAGAUAUAUUCCCCAAUUUGAAAUCAGAAGAGCUUGAUUAUUUCUCUCAAGGAAGUCUAAUAGCAUUCUUUGGCAGAGUAAUAAAGGAAGAAGAACUCACUCGAGUAACUACAGAAAGAUAUAGAGACAUAAAAAAACCUUCUAUGCUUGGAUUGGUAAAAGAUUUACUGACGGUGGGCAAGCGAAUUCGGAAAGAUCAAAAGAAUUAUAUGAAUUAUCACAUUCCAGUUGAGAAAUUCAAAACUUCCAAAGAACUUUUCGAUCAUCUUUUGAAAAGCAGUACAGAAAUCUGUAGCGUUUCCAUCAGCCUUAUGAAGAGUACCGAGUCAUCAACACUAUGGAAUAUGUUUAUUUUGGCUAUCCUUGCGAAAGCCAGCGGAGGAUUUAAUGAUGAAGUUUAUCGAGAGUUUGCUUCUCUCAUAACUACCAAAAGUGAUGUGGAAAGUGCUGAUGUGCCUUCCGCUAUACAGAGUAUUGCCUUUGAUAUUUCUAAAGUAGUAGAUGUGAAUGAGUUCCAACAAAUGAGCGUUGAGGAAGCUUUGAAUUGGCUACAAACAACAACAUGCAUGGCAGGAAGAAAAUUCCGAGAAUUUUUGGAGAGACAUGGCCAUAGAUGUUUGGGUGAAUAUGACAUUUACGCAAUCUCGUGGGGUUCUGAUCCGAAGUCGUUGGUGAAGCUGCUACAGAAUCUAGCUGCUAAUGUAUCUCAAGAUUUCUCAAGGAAGCACUCGGACAACUUAAGUGAAAUACUGUCUCGGCUUUCUAUUCCAGUGGGAUUCUUUUCCAGAUUCAUGUUGAAACUAUUAUUGCCCAUGAGCCGCCGCGGUGUGCAGAACCGAGAAAUGACUAAAUCUAUGUAUAUAAAAACAACUGAUGAGUGGCGGAAAGCAUUCCGGUAUCUCGCUAAACUCCUUGUGCUUGAAGGACGCAUCCCUGAAGAGGAUAUUCUGUUUUUCAUGACAAUGGACGAAAUCAAAGAGUUACUAGGCACACGGUCACCGAAAAUACUAGCCAGAGCAGCUCAGAGACAAAGGAGGUAUCCAGUUCUGAACAAAUAUAUUUUUCCAGAAAUUAUGAAGGGCGUACCGAGACCUGCGUUCCAGUCAGCCAAGGAGUAGCUGAAGGUUUUGUACGCGUGGCAAUCACUCUAGAAGAAGCAAGUCUUUUAAAGCCCGGAGAGAUUCUGGUGACCUACAGCACAGAUAUUGGCUGGACACCUUGUUUUCCGAUAUUAGCUGGAGUCGUUACGGAAUUGGGAGGACUCAUUUCUCAUG